rnacentral:rRNA from 1 species
CGGGUAGCCGGCCUGAGAGGGCGACCGGCCACACUGGGACUGAGACACGGCCCAGACUCCUACGGGAGGCAGCAGUGGGGAAUAUUGCACAAUGGGCGAAAGCCUGAUGCAGCGACGCCGCGUGAGGGAUGACGGCCUUCGGGUUGUAAACCUCUUUCAGCAGGGAAGAAGCGAAAGUGACGGUACCUGCAGAAGAAGCGCCGGCUAACUACGUGCCAGCAGCCGCGGUAAUACGUAGGGCGCAAGCGUUGUCCGGAAUUAUUGGGCGUAAAGAGCUCGUAGGCGGCUUGUCGCGUCGGUUGUGAAAGCCCGGGGCUUAACCCCGGGUCUGCAGUCGAUACGGGCAGGCUAGAGUUCGGUAGGGGAGAUCGGAAUUCCUGGUGUAGCGGUGAAAUGCGCAGAUAUCAGGAGGAACACCGGUGGCGAAGGCGGAUCUCUGGGCCGAUACUGACGCUGAGGAGCGAAAGCGUGGGGAGCGAACAGGAUUAGAUACCCUGGUAGUCCACGCCGUAAACGGUGGGCACUAGGUGUGGGCAACAUUCCACGUUGUCCGUGCCGCAGCUAACGCAUUAAGUGCCCCGCCUGGAGACGCCGACUGUU